AGCUGGAAUAUUGGUUCUUAGCAUCGCUGUUGAAAGUGCCAGAUCUAACUCUUCCGGCUUA
rnacentral:pre_miRNA from 1 species